rnacentral:rRNA from 1 species
AAAGGCCGGGGGGUGCUAUACAUGCAAGUCGAACGCGUUGUGCCCAAGUUGAUUGAUGGUGCUUGCACCUGAUUGAUUUUGGUCGCCAACGAAUGGCGGACGGGUGAGUAACACGUAGGUAACCUGCCCAGAAACGGGGUGUACAACAUUUGAGAAACAGAUGCUAAUACCGCAUAAAACCGUUGUUCUCAUGAACAACGCUUAAAAGAUGGCUUCUCGCUAUCACUUCUGGAUGGACCUGCGGUGCAUUAGCUUGUUGGUGGGGUAACGGCCUACCAAGGCGAUGAUGCAUAGCCGAGUUGAUAGACUGAUCGGCCACAAUGGGACUGACACACGGCCCAUACUCCUACGGGAGGCGGCAUUAUGGAAUCUUCCACAAUGGGCGCAGGCCUGAUGGAGCAACACCGCGUGAGUGAAUAAGGGUUUCGGCUCGUAAAGCUCUGUUGUUAAGGAAGAACACGUAUGAGAGUAACUGUUCAUACGUUGACGGUAUUUAACCAGAAAGUCACGGCUAACUACGUGCCAGCAGCCGCGGUAAUACGUAGGUGGCAAGCGUUAUCCGGAUUUAUUGGGCGUAAAGAGAGUGCAUGCGGUUUUCUAAGUCUGAUGUGAAAGCCUUCGGCUUAACCGGAGAAGUGCAUCGGAAACUGGAUAACUUGAGUGCAGAAGAGGGUACUGGAACUCCAUGUGUAGCGGUGGAAUGCGUGGAUAUAUGCAAGAGCACCAGUGGCGAAGGCGGCUACCUGGUCUGCAACUGACGCUGAGACUCGAAAGCAUGGGUAGCUAACAGGAUUAGAUACCCUGGUACUCCAUGCCGUAAACGAUGAGUGCUAAGUGUUGCAGGCUUUCCGCCCUUCAGUGCCGGAGCUAACGCAUUAAGCACUCCGCCUGGAGAGUACGACCGCAAGGCUGAAAAAUCAGAGGAAUUGACCGCGGGCCCGCACAAGCGGUGGGAGCAUGUUGGUUUACUUCGAAGCUACUCUUAACAAACGUUAGCAAGGUCUUGACAUCAUGCCGACAACCCUAGGAGAUAGGGCGUUUGCCUUCCGGGAACCCAAAGGACAGGGGGGGGCCUGGCUCCUCCUUCCGCUUGCGGUUCUGAGAAUUUUUGCGUUAAAAACCCCCCCCAACCCCCCGCCAACCCCUUGUUUUCCUAGUUGCCAGCACAUUUUAAGUUGGGGCGCACUCUAGUGUAGACUGCCCCGGGUGACAAACCGGAGGAAGGUGGGGACGACGUAGAUCAUCAUGCCCCUUAUGACCUGGGCUACACCAAUGGACGGUACAACGAGUCGCGAACUCGCGAGGGCAAGCAAACAGAAGGCCGCGGGGGGUCCGGGGGAGGGAUAAAAAAAUCUCCUUUUAAACCCUCGCUAGUAAUCGCGGAUCAGCAUGCCGCGGGAAUACGUUCCCGGGCCUUGUACAACCGCCCGUCACACCAUGAGAGUUUGUAACACCCAAAGUCGGGGGGGGCCCGCGCUCGCUCGCUCCCGCGACCAACACACCAAAAAAAAAAAAUAAAAAAUA